GCUUCGCUAGUACAUUGGUAGGAAGUACACGCGCUUGCCAUAUCAUGUAGCGAUUCCCACCAGAUAUGUGCAAGCUAGCUGGGUUCAACUCCCGGGUGAAGUU